UACGUAGGGUGCAAGCGUUAAUCGGAAUUACUGGGCGUAAAGCGUGCGCAGGCGGUUUUGUAAGUUUGUCGUGAAAUCCCCGGGCUCAACCUGGGAAUGGCGAUGAAGACUGCAAGGCUAGAGUUUGGCAGAGGGGGGUAGAAUUCCACGUGUAGCAGUGAAAUGCGUAGAGAUGUGGAGGAACACCGAUGGCGAAGGCAGCCUCCUGGGCCAACACUGACGCUCAUGCACGAAAGCGUGGGGAGCAAACAGG
rnacentral:rRNA from 1 species